UGUGGGGGACGUCGGUUUAGCCUAUCUCAUAACCUGAAGGUCGCAGGUUCAAAUCCUGCCCCCGCAACCA
rnacentral:tRNA from 1 species